UACGUAGGGCGCAGGCGUUGUCCGGAAUUAUUGGGCGUAAAGAGCUCGUAGGCGGUUUGUCGCGUCUGUCGUGAAAGCUUGGGGCUUAACCCCAAGUCUGCGGUGGAUACGGGCAGACUAGAGGCAGGUAGGGGAGAACGGAAUUCCCGGUGUAGCGGUGAAAUGCGCAGAUAUCGGGAGGAACACCGGUGGCGAAGGCGGUUCUCUGGGCCUGUACUGACGCUGAGGAGCGAAAGCGUGGGGAGCGAACAUG
rnacentral:rRNA from 1 species